rnacentral:rRNA from 1 species
AAAUUGAAGAGUUUGAUCAUGGCUCAGAUUGAACGCUGGCGGCAGGCCUAACACAUGCAAGUCGAGCGGAAACGAGUUAUCUGAACCUUCGGGGAACGAUAGCGGCGUCGAGCGGCGGACGGGUGAGUAAUGCCUAGGAAAUUGCCCUGAUGUGGGGGAUAACCAUUGGAAACGAUGGCUAAUACCGCAUGAUGCCCAGGGGGCAAAGAGGGGGAGCUUCGGGCCUUUCACGUCAGGGUAUGGCUGGG